CCUACGGGUGGCAGCAGUGGGGGAUAUUGCACAAUGGGGGGAACCCUGAUGCAGUGACGCCGCGUGGGUGAAGGAGCGUUUCGGCGCGUAAAGCUCUAUCGGUAGGGAAGAAGGAGGACGGUACCUGACGAAGAAGCCCCGGCGAACUACGGGCCAGAAGCCGCGGUAAUACGCAGGGGGCAAGCGUUAGACGGAUUUACUGGGUGGAAAGGGGGCGCAGACGGUAGCGCAAGCGAGGAGUGAAAGCCCGGGGCCCAACCCCGGGACUGCACUUGAAACUGGGCGGCUGGAGUGCAGGAGGGGCAGGCGGAAUUCCUGGUGUAGCGGUGAAAUGCGUAGAUAUCAGGAGGAACACCGGUGGCGAAGGCGGCCUGCUGGCCUGCGACUGACGUUGAGGCCCGAAAGCGUGGGGAGCAAACAGGAUUAGAUACCCCGGUAGUC
rnacentral:rRNA from 1 species